CAAUAGCGUAUAUUAAAGUUGUUGCGGUUAAAAAGCUCGUAGUUGGAUUUCUGCUGAGAACGACCGGUCCGCCCUUUGGGUGUGUAUCUGGCUCUUUCUUGGCAUCUUCUUGGUGAACGUUGCUGCACUUGACUGUGUGGAGCGCUACCCAGGACUUUUACUUUGAGGAAAUUAGAGUGUUUCAAGCAGGCAUACGCCUUGAAUACAUUAGCAUGGAAUAAUAAGAUAGGACCUCGGUUCUAUUUUGUUGGUUUCUAGAGCUGAGGUAAUGAUUAAUAGGGAUAGUUGGGGGCAUUCGUAUUUAACUGUCGGAGGUGAAAUUCUUGGAUUUGUUAAAGACGGACUACUGCGAAAGUAUUUGCCAAGGAUGUUUUCAUUGA
rnacentral:rRNA from 1 species